UUUAAGGUAGCACUACAGUCAAGAUUUUCUGACUCCAAUCAACAGUCUUUAAAGAUUAAUUUCUACAAAACUACUCAAUGGAUUUUUAAAAUUUUUAACUCAUUUUAAAGCUGAAAUAUAACUCUUUCUUAAUCUAUAUAUAAAUUUAUUUUUUGUUUGAUUAAUUUCAAAAUAUAGCUCAUUAAUUGCCCAAAAGCGGUCUUCCAACUUGGAUGAAAAUGGCACAUUCAUGUCAAAUGGUAGUAAAAAUUUGUUUUCAUCCCUUUAAUCAACCAUGUACAAUCAACAAAACCGUGUCUUAGAUUUUUGAUAUAUUCCUCCAGUAAGAAGAUAUAUUGAUUUAACUGCUGGGUUCCAAACCUCAUUUCAUCUUUCAUCUUUGAAGACCUAUAAAUUCAUUUAGAAACAAAUUAUCCAAAAACUGGGACACGGUAUUGUAGAAAAUACACCCUUUAAUCAUAUAUAUCAAAGUCAGGCCAAAGGGGAUAAUCAUUAAGUUUCUAUUUUCAUUUUUUCCUUACAAUUCUCAUGAAAAAUUGUUCUGAGAAAUGACCUAAAAACUGAAUUUCCCCCUUAGAACCCCUAUAAAAGACAAUAUAAUACAAAAAUUCCACUGGGAACACCCCAGGAGUGUUCUGAUACCAUUACUAUAUCAAUAGAACCACACACUUUGUGUCUUUGAUGCUCUAAUGCUGUAAAUUUUGCAUUACAUGUGAUCUGUCCAACACUAACUUGGCAUUUGGCGGGAGUUUGACGUCACAGAUUUGACCAACAUCUGUGAUGUAGUAAUUAAAUAUAGACAAAGCUCCACCUCUUUCCAGACAGUCUUAAGAUAAGAGAAUAACAAGAUCGACCAGCUGCAUAUAAUCAAUGUUUAACAUCAUUAUUCUCUAUAUAUAAAGAAUAACUUUUAUUUGAAUUUAAAAAAAAAGAAGAAAUAAACUGUCUGAAAUAAGCUAGAACAUUAAAAGUGUGCAUCAAAAAAACAUGUUCAUAAAAAGAUCAAGAGUUAGACCACACUCUUCUUGAAAAUCCAACACAUCAACUGAAAAUUAGUUAAAAUGCAUAAAACUGUAUUUAAAUGAAUAAGACCAAAGAGAAGAUAUUUAUACAGACAGUCAGAGGCCUUUUAAAAAUACUUCCCACUCUUUACCAUAUAUUAAUUUUAUUUCAUUUUUUGUAGA
rnacentral:lncRNA from 1 species